GUGAGGAAUUUUCCGCAAUGGGCGAAAGCCUGACGGAGCAAUGCCGCGUGAAGGAUGAAGGCCUAUGGGUUGUAAACUUCUUUUCUUAGAGAAGAAUAUUGACGGUAUCUGAGGAAUAAGCAUCAGCUAACUCUGUGCCAGCAGCCGCGGUAAGACAGAGGAUGCAAGCGUUAUCCGGAAUGAUUGGGCGUAAAGCGUCUGUAGGUGGCUUCAAAAGUCUCCUGUCAAAGAUCAGGGCUUAACCCUGGGACGGCAGGAGAAACUCUGAGGCUAGAGUUUGGUAGGGGCAGAGGGAAUUCCCGGUGGAGCGGUGAAAUGCGUAGAGAUCGGGAGGAACACCAAAGGCGAAAGCACUCUGCUGGGCCACAACUGACACUGAGAGACGAAAGCGAGGGGAGCAAAAGGGAUUAGAAACCCUGGUAGUCC
rnacentral:rRNA from 1 species